rnacentral:tRNA from 2 species
CCCUGGUUGGCUCAGUUGGUAGAGCGCUCCACUGGAAAUGGAGAGGUCCCGGGUUCAAUACCCGUGCCAGACA